AGGACGAACGCUGGCGGCGUGCUUAACACAUGCAAGUCGAGCGGAAAGGCCCUUCGGGGUACUCGAGCGGCGAACGGGUGAGUAACACGUGAGCAAUCUGCCCUUAGCUUCGGGAUAGCCCCGGGAAACCGGGAUUAAUACCGAAUACGACCUCGGCCGACAUCGGCUUUGGUGGAAAGUUUUUCGGCUAGGGAUGAACUCGCGGCCUAUCAGCUUGUUGGUGGGGUAAUGGCCUACCAAGGCGACGACGGGUAGCCGGCCUGAGAGGGCGACCGGCCACACUGGGACUGAGACACGGCCCAGACUCCUACGGGAGGCAGCAGUGGGGAAUAUUGCGCAAUGGGCGAAAGCCUGACGCAGCGACGCCGCGUGGGGGAUGAAGGCCUUCGGGUUGUAAACCCCUUUCAGCAGGGACGAAGCGAGAGUGACGGUACCUGCAGAAGAAGCGCGGCUAACUACGUGCCAGCAGCCGC
rnacentral:rRNA from 1 species